rnacentral:rRNA from 1 species
AGAGUUUGAUCAUGGCUCAGAAUGAACGCUGGCGGCAUGCCUAACACAUGCAAGUCGAACGAGAUCUUCGGAUCUAGUGGCGCACGGGUGAGUAACGCGUGGGAACCUACCUUUUAGUACGGGACAACGUUUGGAAACGAACGCUAAUACCGUAUACGCCCUCCGGGGGAAAGGUCUGCCGCUAAAAGAGGGGCCCGCGUCUGAUUAGCUUGUUGGUAGGGUAAUGGCCUACCAAGGCAAUGAUCAGUAGCUGGUCUGAGAGGAUGAUCAGCCACACUGGGACUGAGACACGGCCCAGACUCCUACGGGAGGCAGCAGUGGGGAAUAUUGGACAAUGGAGGCAACUCUGAUCCAGCAAUGCCGCGUGUGUGAUGAAGGCCUUAGGGUUGUAAAGCACUUUCAACGGUGAAGAUGAUGACGGUAGCCGUAGAAGAAGCCCCGGCUAACUUCGUGCCAGCCGCCGCGGUAAUAC